rnacentral:rRNA from 1 species
UACAGAGGGUCCCAAGCAGUUGUUCGGAUUCACUGGGCGUAAAGGGUGCGUAGGUGGUCGGGUAAGUCUGAUGUGAAAGACUCUGGGCUCAACCCAGAAAAUGGCAUUGGAUACUAUCUGGCUAGAGGAAUGGAGGGGGAGCUGGAAUACUUGGUGUAGCAGUAGAAAUGCGUAGAGUAUCAAGUGGAACACCGUGGCGGAAGGCGAGUCCCUGGACAUUUCCUGACAGCUGAGGCAACGAAAGGCUAGGGGAGCAAACAGG